rnacentral:rRNA from 1 species
UACGGGAGUGGCAAGCGUUAUCCGGAAUUAUUGGGCGUAAAGCGUCCGCAGGCGGUCUGUCAAGUCUGCUGUUAAAGCGUGGAGCUUAACUCCAUUAAGGCAGUGGAAACUGACAGACUAGAGUGUGGUAGGGGCAGAGGGAAUUCCCGGUGUAGCGGUGAAAUGCGUAGAUAUCGGGAAGAACACCAGUGGCGAAGGCGCUCUGCUGGGCCAUAACUGACGCUCAUGGACGAAAGCCAGGGGAGCGAAAGGGAUUAGAUACCCCUGUAGUCCUGGCCGUAAACGAUGAACACUAGGUGUCGGGGGAAUCGACCCCCUCGGUGUCGUAGCCAACGCGUUAAGUGUUCCGCCUGGGGAGUACGCACGCAAGUGUGAAACUCAAAGGAAUUGACGGGGGCCCGCACAAGCGGUGGAGUAUGUGGUUUAAUUCGAUGCAACGCGAAGAACCUUACCAGGGUUUGACAUCCUGCGAAUCUCUUGGAAACGAGAGAGUGCCUUCGGGAACGCAGUGACAGGUGGUGCAUGGCUGUCGUCAGCUCGUGUCGUGAGAUGUUGGGUUAAGUCCCGCAACGAGCGCAACCCACGUCGUUAGUUGCCAGCAUUUAGUUGGGCACUCUAGCGAGACCGCCGGUGAUAAACCGGAGGAAGGUGUGGAUGACGUCAAGUCAUCAUGCCCCUUACAUCCUGGGCUACACACGUACUACAAUGCUACGGACAAAGGGCAGCAAACUCGCGAGAGCUAGCAAAUCCCAUAAACCGUGGCUCAGUUCAGAUCGUAGGCUGCAACUCGCCUACGUGAAGGAGGAAUCGCUAGUAAUCGCAGGUCAGCAUACUGCGGUGAAUACGUUCCCGGGCCU